rnacentral:rRNA from 1 species
UCUGGUCCUUUUGUGCCCGCCGCCGCGGUAAUACGGAAGGUCCGGGCGUUAUCCGGAUUUCUUGGGUUUAAAGGGAGCGUAGGCCGGAGAUUAAGCGUGUUGUGAAAUGUAGAUGCUCAACAUCUGAACUGCAGCGCGAACUGGUUUCCUUGAGUACGCAUAAAGUGGGCGGAAUUCGUGGUGUAGCGGUGAAAUGCUUAGAUAUCACGAAGAACUCCGAUUGCGAAGGCAGCUCACUGGGGCGCAACUGACGCUGAAGCUCGAAAGCGCGGGUAUCGAACAGG